rnacentral:misc_RNA from 1 species
UUUCUUUUUUCUUUUUUUUUUUACCCCCAAAAUUUGGAUAAUGACAUUUCCAGGGAAAUAUAAAAUGAGCUGCAGAAUUUUGCAUAGGAAACUCAGUCUUGCUUUUACAGAAGAAAACACAUCGAUUCUUGAUAGGUUUGUCUGGUUCUACCUUAAAUCACUUUGGCUGGCUUCUGCUUGUUCGCUUCAGUUGGUCCUCCUUUAACGCCAGUUUCUGAUAGAAAUAUCUCUAGCUGGCUUCCUGAAUGCAAUGGAUUAUAGAUGUUUGUUUUGAUCAUAAUUCUAUUGAAGAUCUUCUCCUUCGUUGUUUGUGGGCUUUUCUUUAUUGAAUUCUUGCAAAAUUGCUUUCUUUCUUCCUUUAAAAAAUUGCUUUGCUUUCUUG